UGGGAAGAGGGCACGGUCGCUGCUCCGCAAGGCGGCAGAGGAAAGUCCGGGCUGCACAGGGCAGGAUGCCAGCUAACGGCUGGGCGGGGCAACCCGACGGAAUAGUGCAACAGAAAGCAAACCGCCUCCCUCUUACUUCCCUCUCCCCUUGUGGGGGAGGGUCAGGGUGGGGGGGAUGGUAAGGGUGAAACGGUGGGGUAAGAGCCCACCAGUGCCCCUGGAGACAGGGGGAGCUAGGCAAACCCCAUCUGCUGCAAGUCCGUAAGUCCGAUCAGGGAGGUUUAGCCCGAACCGCUUGAACCUACGGCAGAGACGCUCGAGGUGGCUGGCGACAGCCAUCCCAGAGAGAUGACCGUGGAAACAGAACCCGGCUUACACCUCUUCCCAAUUU
rnacentral:RNase_P_RNA from 1 species